AACGCACAUUGCGCCCCUUGGUAUUCCAUGGGGCAUGCCUGUUCGAGCGUCAUUUGUACCCUCAAGCUCUGCUUGGUGUUGGGUGUUUGUCCCCCAGGGGACUCGCCUUAAAAUUAUUGGCAGCCGGCAUACUGGUUUCGGAGCGCAGCACAUUUUGCGCUUCUGGCCCUGCAUGCUGGCGUCCAGGAAGCUUCUACAUUUCACUUUUGACCUCGGAUCAGGUAGGGAUACCCGCUGAACUUAA
rnacentral:misc_RNA from 2 species